UUAAAAUUGAAAGUAUCAACUGAUGCUUAAAUAUUGCUAUUGUUUUAUCUUAAAGAGAGGAAAAUAGUUUCUUUUUAAAUAAGUAUUCUCUUUUAAAAAAUAUUAAUAAAUUUUCGUAGCAAACACGAAUAAAAUAAAGUUCUACAUACGAAGCACAAACUACAAUGUUAUAUUAAUCAUAUUUUGAACAUAGUAUAUAUAUAUAUAUAUAUAUAUAUAUAUAUAUAUUAUCAUUAUCUAAACACAACUAUAUAUACAUAGAUACACUAUAAUCCGAAGUGUUGGACUCGUGCACACGGGCAUAGACCAUCAAGUAUUAUAUAGAAGCAAUCAGUUGGGUCCUUUUCGUCGUCGUCGUCGUCCAAAAAAAAAAAAAAAAAUUGGGCCCAUAUUAAACAGGCGCGUUUUCUUCUUCCUAUCCAUAGAUGAUUCUAGGAUCUACUAUGGAGACAUUUCGGAUCCACUGACUACUUAACCUAAGCGAAGAAGAAGUCCAUAUCUUGCUUUCUCCAUUCAAAUUUUAUUUCAACUGAUCUACAUUCAAGAGGAGUAUUCUAGAAAAAAAUAAUUUGCAGCAGUGGUACAUACUUAUGAGAAGUACUGUCAGAAAUUUAGCUAUAAAUUAUGUCAAGUAAAAGGUAGACACUCAAUAAGGGGCAUUGACUGCUACUUUAAAGCCAAGGUGCAGCUGCCACAAGAAGAAAAUGAAAAACAAGAAAAUGCAAACCAAAGGAAGAGGAGAUGGAGGAGAAAAUACAAAGAAGAAGUUACUGUAAAUGGAUAUCACUUUGAACUUUCAUGGUAAAUGUAAUGCGUCGUUAGUUCUUUUCAAUUUCUCAUUGUGCCUUGCCCUUAGCAUAAAAUGCAUGCUUGAUUAUAAAUGUUGUGAAUUUUUAAAAACUUGAUGUGAUGAAGAGUCUAAUUAGGCUACCUUUUGCGGUAGAAUUGUUUUGGCAUGCGAUUUCAUUCAUUGAUUUGGUUCUGCAAAGCUUAGUUCGUCCAAUGUUGUCCUUCAGGUGUCACUUUCACGUAAUUUAAAAUAUCACCACUUUUAGAUAAUUUGAAUUUUCUCAUUAUUUACACCAUGUGGAAAUCUGGUGUUUUUGAUGCUGAAAGAUUCAUAGAUGCUAUGCAAGCAUUUGAGAAUUUCAUAACUGCAGCUAAGAGUGGAGGUGGGGAGAGUUUGAAUGGAAGAAUGGCAGAGGUUGGCAUUAUGCAAAGUCAAACAAAUAGCAUAAUUCCUUUUUCUUCUUCAAGUGCUUAUCAAACAGAGCAGCCAAUCCAAACAAGAGCAGCAUUAGCAUUUCUGCUCUCUGAUAAAGGGAUUUUUUUUCCGCGAAUUCCUUUUGGAUGAGGUACGUCUACUUGGCUGCUAAGUUAGCUCUGUGGGAAAAAUUGCAGAGAUGAAUAUAUAAUUAUCAGAUAUGUUUUUUAAUCUAAGCCUGUAAUCACUCAAACUUUGUGAACUAUAAUUUAUCAAGGUUUGAUUCAUUUUAAGACCAUUUGUUCUGCUAUACAUUUCUGUCUAAAUAUACACAGUGAAUGGACUAUGCAAACUCAUUUGAAGGCCAUCAACAAGUAAAACUUGAAGCUCUUGGAAAAAAUCCUCUUAUGCACAUGAAAAUACUAGGAAGGAAGAAAUAUUUUUUCUAGGCUAUAAAAAGGCAGUACCUUGUAGGUAAAGUGAUCGAAUGGUGAUUCAUGCAUAAAUAAGACUUCCCUACAAGCUAACCUCAAGCAGGAUCCAAAGGUAAGAGGUGUUUUCUGUUGUGUUGUUGGAUAAUUGAUUGUUGGUUAUCCAAAUUGUAUUUAGACUGCAAGAGAAAUGGGAACUAGAACAUUUGAUAAAUGUAAAUUGUACGAGACUUGGGAGGACGAACACAGCAAAAACAAGUGGUACUCUGCUCAUCCAUAGUUGGACCUUUAAACCCCAAGUCCAAAAGAUCAGCUCUUCUCUUUAUCAUUCUGACAAGUGUACUUUUUGGUUGACACGUGUUUAUUACUUCUAUUUGAGUGGGACAACUGCUUCCCAGUUCCCACUUCUAUUUCCUUUUCUAUUUUCCACACUUUUCUAUUCCUUUUUUCACAUUUGUGAUUGAUUUUCAGUUUCCACUCCCAUUCUUCCUCUCAUGUCGACUGUUACUACGGCCUGUCUGCCAAAUGGUGUCUUAAUGUUUUGGUAUUUUAAUUUUAGUUAUCUAGCAAAAUUUAUGACUCAUUAGCCAUUCUUCUUUGUUAGUCAUUUUUGUUGCAGAUCGUGGUUCAAAUGCUAAUUCAGAUUCACAUGUAGAUUUAUAUCCAGAUGAUUUUAGAUUUGUAAGGAAGUCAAAGUAUGUUGAUGAAGAAAGGGAAGAGAAUUUGAAAAAGCUGAAGGAGAAUAUCAGCUCAAUAUUAAAGAAGUUGUUGAGUUCAUAUUGUCAACAGCUGAGGUUUGCUUAAUUUUGCGUCAAGUUCUUGGUCAGAGGUUUGGUUUGUCAUCAGAAAAAUUGUGAAUGCUAACUAUACUUUUGUAUUUUUAGGAGAACAAUAAAAUGAACCUUGAAUAGGGAAAUAAUAUGAUUGAUAAAACAUAUCCCAUUUUCUCGGUCAAAGAUGGUUUCAUUUGAAUUUUAUAGGUGCUUAGAUAAUUAGCAUGUCUUAUUGGAUAGGAGUACUCUCUAACCAAGUUUAAUUAUGUGGUUCAAAUAGUAUAUGUAAGAGGCUUGAUUUGAUCCUCCUCUUUCAUUCUAGAUGGGAGUUUGUGUGAUUUUUGGAAGAAAAUCCCAUUUCUUCUUCUGUUCAUUUAUGUGUAAAGCUUAUAAGGUUGAUGAUAGAAUGCAACUGUUGGCAUUCUAGAGUAGGAAGUCACAGUACUUCUAGAUGCUCUAUUACAUUCACAUAUUUGAUAGCCAUAUGAAAUUGGGUUGACAUAUUA